CCUACGGGUGGCAGCAGUGGGGAAUAUUGGACAAUGGGGGGAACCCUGAUCCAGCCAUGCCGCGUGUGUGAAGAAGGCCCUCGGGUUGUAAAGCACUUUCAGUGAGGAAGAACGCCUGGUGGUUAAUACCCAUCAGGAAAGACAUCACUCACAGAAGAAGCACCGGCUAACUCCGUGCCAGCAGCCGCGGUAAUACGGAGGGUGCGAGCGUUAAUCGGAAUUACUGGGCGUAAAGCGCGCGUAGGUGGCUUGAUAAGCCGGUUGUGAAAGCCCCGGGCUCAACCUGUGAACGGCAUCCGGAACUGUCAAGCUAGAGUGCAGGAGAGGAAGGUAGAAUUCCCGGUGUAGCGGUGAAAUGCGUAGAGAUCGGGAGGAAUACCAGUGGCGAAGGCGGCCUUCUGGACUGACACUGACACUGAGGUGCGAAAGCGUGGGUAGCAAACAGGAUUAGAUACCCGUGUAGUC
rnacentral:rRNA from 1 species